UGGGAAGCAUAAAACUAAAGUCUAGGUACGCGAAAGGCAUCAUAUAAACUUGAGCUACUGUUUAUCUUGUUCCUGCUACACUAAGUUCUGGAGAUUUAUUUUGAAAACUUACAAAUCACAUGAUGAGUUCCUAGCAUUACAAACUACCUACCACAGCCAUACUUGCUAUAACAUCUUUUGCUACUUAUAUUUGCAUUGAGUUUGAUCGAGCUGUGUAGACCCUUAGGAGCUUUUCAUGUGGUUAAAUUAAGAUAUUCACUUGCACACAUCCACUACACCAUUCACCACCAUACAUUGCUAAAAAUAUUAUCACUCACUGUCCCAAAUAUUGUUAUUCACUCUCUCUAAAAAGAUUCAAUGCAGAAGAGGCAUCGGUUAUGCAAAAAUAUGUGAGGAAAUAAAAAGGGGCAAGUGCCUGGAACCUCGAAAAAGAAACAAAGAAAGAAAAAGAGUGAGACGAGAGGUAAAAAUAGACAAGUGUCCGGAGUAGAAUUAGGGGUACAAAGAUGCCCACU
rnacentral:lncRNA from 1 species